rnacentral:rRNA from 1 species
GUGCCAGCAGCCGCGGUAAUACGUAGGGUGCAAGCGUUAAUCGGAAUUACUGGGCGUAAAGCGUGCGCAGGCGGUUUUGUAAGACAGUGGUGAAAUCCCCGGGCUCAACCUGGGAACUGCCAUUGUGACUGCAAGGCUAGAGUGCGGCAGAGGGGGAUGGAAUUCCGCGUGUAGCAGUGAAAUGCGUAGAUAUGCGGAGGUACACCGAUGGCGAAGGCAAUCCCCUGGGCCUGCACUGACGCUCAUGCACGAAAGCGUGG